rnacentral:rRNA from 1 species
AACACAUUUAAUAAUUGUGUAAUAAAACUAAAAGGACGCGGUAACCUUGACCGUGAUAAUGUAGCACAAUCACUCGCCAUUUAAUUGAUGGAUAGUAUGAAUGGUUUAACGAAUAUUCCACUGUCUUAAAAAGAAAUACUUAAAAAUUAAAAUAAUAGUUAUGAUACUAUUUAAGAUUGUAAGACGAAAAGACCCUAUAGAGCUUAACUAUAAUUUUUCUUAUAAUAAAGAUAACUCAAUCUAAAAAAGAAAAGCUGAUAGUUUAGUUGGGGCGACUAUCUUUUAAAACUAACAAAGAUAAGCAAAGUUAAUAAACAAAAACAAACUUAUUGUAUAAUAAAUCUAUUUAACAAUUAUGAUAAUAGGCUAUAGCGACCCGUUAAGUAUUUAUAAAAAGACUAACGAUUAAUAAAUAAAAGCUACCUUAGGGAUAACAGAAUAAUUUCAUUUUAGAGACCUCAUCAAAAAUGAAGUUUAUUACCUCUAUGUUGAAUUAAGAUAUCCUAACAAUGCAGAAGUUGUUAAAGGUAGGUCUGUUCGACCUUUAAAAUCUUACAUGAUU